GCUUUUAUACAAUAAAUUGUUCGCGUAAUAUAUAUUAAUAUUAAUACAAAUAUCAAUAUCCAAAAAUGUUUAAUCAAUUAUUAAAGAUAUUUGAAAAUAUGUCUUCAUUUAUUAAAAAAAAUGAUGUUAACUUUUAUGGUUUUUUUUUUUUUACUUUUUGAAUAAUAAAAGGUUUAGGGUCAGAACCCAUACAUUAUUUUCAAACCGAGACCAGAACAUGUUAUAUAGUCUCGUUCCAAAUGCCAUUCGAAUCGACGAACUCUAGACGUUUGCUAGUAAUCUUUACCAAUAUAGCUAUUAGCA
rnacentral:lncRNA from 1 species